rnacentral:rRNA from 1 species
UAGUCCACGCCGUAAACGAUGAGAACUAGAUGUCGGGAAGAUUUACUUCUCGGUGUCGCAGCUAACGCGUUAAGUUCUCCGCCUGGGGAGUACGGUGGCAACACUAAAACUCAAAGGAAUUGACGGGGACCCGCACAAGCGGUGGAGCAUGUGGUUUAAUUCGAUGCAACGCGAAGAACCUUACCUGGUCUUGACAUCCUGCGAACUUUCUAGAGAUAGAUUGGUGCCUUCGGGAACGCAGUGACAGGUGCUGCAUGGCUGUCGUCAGCUCGUGUCGUGAGAUGUUGGGUUAAGUCCCGCAACGAGCGCAACCCUUGUCCCUAGUUGCCAGCAUUUAGUUGGGCACUCUAGGGAGACCGCCGGUGACAAACCGUAGGAAGGUGGGGACGACGUCAAGUCAUCAUGGCCCUUAUGGGCAGGGCUACACACGUGCUACAAUGGCGAAUACAGAGGGUUGCCAACCAGCAAUGGUGCGCUAAUCCCUUAAAGCUCGUCGUAGUCCGGAUCGG